GGGUUGUGAGGUUAAGCGACUAAGCGUACACGGUGGAUGCCCUGGCAGUCAGAGGCGAUGAAGGGCGUGCUAAUCUGCGAUAAGCGCCGGUAAGGUGAUAUGAACCGUUAUAACCGGCGAUACCCGAAUGGGGAAACCCAGUGUGAUUCGUCACACUAUCAUUAACUGAAUCCAUAGGUUAAUGAGGCGA
rnacentral:rRNA from 1 species